AGUGACCUCUACCCGUUCAGUUGAGUUCUCCUUUAUGUCGUUUUUCAAAUCUUCCAUCUUCCCUUUGUUCUUGUGUCUGACAGGAGUGAGAGGAGGAGUAGGUGGAGGGCCCCUGGAUCUCGUAAAAUAGGAUAAUGUUGCCAGAGUUCACAAACUAACCUUUAGGGAGGGGAAUAAAUAAACAAAAAGUAAAAUCAAAAAGGUAAAAAGUCAGUGAGGAUACUAAAAAGAUAUUGCAAUAUUUAAACACAUAGUGUAAGAAUGUAAAGCGUGUCCUAAUUUGGGGACCUCUUUAUGCCUGAGGUAGGCUUAGCGACAAUUUGUUUUGGAGAACUUGGAAUGCUAAAUACCUCAUUUUAUUUAUAAAAAGUAGACGGAUCCAAAAUCGACAAUAAACAUGCAGGAAAUAAAAGUUGCUAGUGUCCAUUGGCCUUAUUACAUUUGAUAAAAAGAAGAAACUCCUAUAUAUUUGGUCCAGAAGGACCUUCCCAAGGUUAAAUGAUCUUAUUGAUCAAAUCCUCCAGUUCGCAUAGAUUUACCAGUAAAAAUGCCUUUGCCAGGUGUUAUCAUUCGUUUCCCUCAGUGUUCUGGCAAUUGGUGGCUCUCUUCCUCACUUUUCCUUCCAAUUCCAACAGAACGUUUUCCAAAUAUUCUAGCUUUUUGCAAGCUUUGGCGGCCCUCUCUUUCCAUUCAUUGAUUUGGCCAUUUGAUGGAAGACUCCGCCACCAGUCUAGCAAGAGUGGGGCGUGCUAAUCAUACCGAAACUGGGGACCUUGUG
rnacentral:lncRNA from 1 species